UUCGCAAUGCCCGAAAGGGUGACGAAGCGACGCCGCGUGCGGGAAGAAGGCCUUCGGGUUGUAAACCGCUGUCGGGAGUUAAGAAAUGUAAGGAUGUUAAUAGCGUCUUUACUUGACUAAGGCUCCGGAGGAAGCCACGGCUAACUCUGUGCCAGCAGCCGCGGUAAUACAGAGGCAGCAAGCGUUGUUCGGAAUUAUUGGGCGUAAAGAGCACGUAGGCGGCUAUGUAAGUCGGUUGUGAAAGCCUUCCGCUCAACGGGAGAACAGCAUCCGAUACUGCAUGGCUUGAGUGUGGGAGGGGAGAGUGGAACUUCUGGUGGAGCGGUGAAAUGCGUAGAUAUCAGAAGGAACGCCGGCGGCGAAAGCGGCUCUCUGGCCCAUAACUGACGCUGAGUGUGCGAAAGCUAGGGGAGCAAACGGGAUUAGAUACCCCGGUAGUCCUAGCCGUAAACGAUGGGCACUAAGUAGAGGGGUUUU
rnacentral:rRNA from 1 species